AACAUUACAAUUAUAUAUUCUAUGGUAGGUAAUCAUUCGAAAUCACAAUUAUUAUUACUACAAUAGGUCAUUGCUGAUCUGCUGCAUAUAAAUAAAGAUGAAAGAACUAAAGUACCUAUUGUACAGGUGACUAUUUCCAGACUUCGUGAUUACGGCAUGUCCUAAAGACAAAUAUGGACUUCAAAAAAUGCCACGGCUUACAAUGUAUCGAUGUGGAUUCUUUUUCAAUGCAUACUCCUAUUUUUCUAACUAUUUAAUCUUUUCCUUGGCCAUUAUUCUGGCUUCAAUUCUAUUUAUAUGGCUUUAUGAAAGACCACAACUUUACAAGCUCAUCUUUAAGAAGAGUAAACCAUCAACUGUAUUUAGUUCAACACCGAGUCAAGAAGUAGAAGAUAGAAAUACUGCAGAGCGACAAAUUUCUGAUACAGUUAAAGAUACUACAGAUACUGACAAAUCUUAGAGAAAUGGUAAAGUAAAAGAAGCCAGUGAUACUUAACAUUACAUGACAGAUCAUCUGGAAAAUAUGAACGUCCAAAUACUAACCUACAUAAUAUUUUAUUGCAACUAUUUGUACCGUUAUUUUGUAAUUAUCGUUCUUAUUAAUAUGAGGUCGUUUAACUUCGCUUUCCUUUAAAUAAGGCUGUAGAAAAUUAAACGAGAGUAGUGGAGAUUAAUUUAUUAAAGACGAUGGCUUUACCA